CCUACGGGUGGCAGCAGUGGGGAAUAUUGGACAAUGGGCGAAAGCCUGAUCCAGCCAUGCCGCGUGUGUGAAGAAGGCCUUCGGGUUGUAAAGCACUUUCAGUGGGGAAGAAAGCCUUGGGGCUAAUACCCUCGAGGAAGGACAUCACCCACAGAAGAAGCACCGGCUAACUCCGUGCCAGCAGCCGCGGUAAUACGGAGGGUGCGAGCGUUAAUCGGAAUUACUGGGCGUAAAGCGCGCGUAGGCGGUCUGAUAAGCCGGUUGUGAAAGCCCCGGGCUCAACCUGGGAACGGCAUCCGGAACUGUCAGGCUAGAGUGCAGGGGAGGAAGGUAGAAGUCCCGGUGUAGCGGUGAAAUGCGUAGAGAUCGGGAGGAAUACCAGUGGCGAAGGCGGCCUUCUGGACUGACACUGACGCUGAGGUGCGAAAGCGUGGGUAGCAAACAGGAUUAGAUACCCGGGUAGUC
rnacentral:rRNA from 1 species